AAGACGACGACGUUGAUAGGCCGGGUGUGUAAGCGCGGCGAUGCGUUGAGCUAACCGGUACUAAUGAACCGUGAGGCUUAACCUU
rnacentral:rRNA from 1 species